UACAGAGGGUGCAAACGUUGCUCGGAAUUACUGGGCGUAAAGCGCGUGUAGGCGGGAAGAUAAGUCGGGUGUGAAAUCCCUGGGCUCAACCUAGGAACUGCAUUCGAAACUGUCUUUCUGGAGUGAUGGAGAGGAAAGCGGAAUUCCCGGUGUAGAGGUGAAAUUCGUAGAUAUCGGGAGGAACACCGGUGGCGAAGGCGGGUCUCUGGGCCGAUACUGACGCUGAGGAGCGAAAGCGUGGGGAGCGAACAGG
rnacentral:rRNA from 1 species